AGGAGGGGCUCGCGUCCUAUCAGCUUGUUGGUGAGGUAACGGCUCACCAAGGCUAAGACGGGUAGCUGGUCUGAGAGGAUGAUCAGCCACACUGGGACUGAGACACGGCCCAGACACCCACGGGUGGCAGCAGUUUCGAAUCAUUGGCUAAUGCGCGAAAGCGUGACCAUGCAAUGCCGCGUGGGGGAUGAAGGUUCUCGGAUCGUAAACCCCUGUCAUCAAGGAACAAAAAACGGUGAAGAGCCGUCUUGAGCUAACUUGAAGAGGAAGAGGUGGCUAACUCCGUGCCAGCAGCCGCGGUAAUACGGAGACCUCGAGCGUUACUCGGAUUCACUGGGCGUAAAGGGAGCGCAGGCGGUUUAGUGUGUUAGGUGUGAAAGCCCAGGGCUCAACUCUGGAACGGCGCCUAAAACUGCUAAACUUGAGACUCGGAGGGGUAAGCGGAAUUCCAGGUGUAGCGGUGAAAUGCGUAGAUAUCUGGAGGAACACCAACGGCGAAGGCAGCUUACUGGACGAGAUCUGACGCUCAGGCUCGAAAGCGUGGGGAGCGAAAGGGAUUAGAUACCCCUGUAGUCCACGCCGUAAACGUUGCACACUAGGUUUCGGAACAUUCGACCGUUUCGGAGCCUAAGGUAACCUAAUAAGUGUGCCGCCUGAGGACUACGGCCGCAAGGCUAAAACUCAAAGGAAUUGACGGGGGCCCGCACAAGCGGUGGAGCAUGUUGCUUAAUUCGAUGCAACGCGAAGAACCUUACCCAGGCUUGACAUGCAACAGACCGGGUGUGAAAGCACCCUUUCCUUCGGGACUGUUGCACAGGUGCUGCAUGGCCGUCGUCAGCUCGUGUCGUGAGAUGUUCGGUUAAGUCCGGCAACGAGCGCAACCCUCGUCCUUAGUUGCCAGCAUUCAGUUGGGGACUCUAAGGAGACAAACGUUUUUUAACGUGGGAAGGUGGGGAUGACGUCAGGUCAGUAUGGCCCUUACGCCUGGGGCUGCAAACGUGCUACAAUGCCCAGUACAAUGAGAUGCAAUCCCGCGAGGGGGAGCCAAUCUACAAAACUGGGCCCAGUUCGGAUUGGAGUCUGCAACUCGACUCCAUGAAGCCGGAAUCGCUAGUAAAGGCGUAUCAGCUACGACGCCUUGAAUACGUUCACCGGGCCACUUGUACACACCGCCCGUCAAGUCAUGAAAGUCGGUUUUGCCCGAAGUGCGUGAG
rnacentral:rRNA from 1 species